rnacentral:rRNA from 1 species
GGGGGGGGUAAGCGUUGUUCGGAAUUACUGGGCGUAAAGGGCUCGUAGGCGGCCAACUAAGUCAGACGUGAAAUCCCUCAGCUUAACUGGGGAACUGCGUCUGAUACUGGAUGGCUUGGAUUCGGGAGAGGAAUGCGGAAUUCCAGGUGUAGCGGUGAAAUGCGUAGAUAUCUGGAGGAACACCGGUGGCGAAGGCGGCAUUCUGGACCGACAUUGACGCUGAGGAGCGAAAGCCAGGGGAGCAAACGGGGUUAGAUACCCUGGUAGUCCUGGCCCUAAACGAUGAAUGCUUGGUGUAGCGGGUAUCGAUCCCUGCUGUGCCGAAGCUAACGCAUUAAGCAUUCCGCCUGGGGAGUACGGUCGCAAGGCUG